CCUACGGGAGGCAGCAGUAGGGAAUUUUCCGCAAUGGGCGAAAGCCUGACGGAGCAAUACCGCGUGAGGGAAGACUGCCUAUGGGUUGUAAACCUCUUUUUUCAGGGAGGAAUUUUGACGUGUACCUGAAGAAUAAGCAUCGGCUAACUCCGUGCCAGCAGCCGCGGUAAGACGGAGGAUGCAAGUGUUAUCCGGAAUCACUGGGCGUAAAGCGUCUGUAGGUGGUUAAACAAGUCAACUGUUAAAUCUUGAAGCUCAACUUCAAAAUCGCAGUCGAAACUGUUUGGCUAGAGUAUAGUAGGGGUAAAGGGAAUUUCCAGUGGAGCGGUGAAAUGCGUAGAUAUUGGAAAGAACACCGAUGGCGAAGGCACUUUACUGGGCUAUUACUGACACUCAGAGACGAAAGCUGGGGUAGCAAAUGGGAUUAGAUACCCCAGUAGUCCUAGCCGUAAACAAUGGAUACUAGAUGUUGAACAGAUCGACCUGUGCAGUAUCAAAGCUAACGCGUUAAGUAUCCCGCCUGGGAAGUAUGCUCGCAAGAGUGAAACUCAAAUGAAUUGACGG
rnacentral:rRNA from 1 species